ACGCUGGCGGCAGGCCUAACACAUGCAAGUCGAGCGGUAGAGAGAAGCUUGCUUCUCUUGAGAGCGGCGGACGGGUGAGUAAUGCCUAGGAAUCUGCCUGGUAGUGGGGGAUAACGUUCGGAAACGGACGCUAAUACCGCAUACGUCCUACGGGAGAAAGCAGGGGACCUUCGGGCCUUGCGCUAUCAGAUGAGCCUAGGUCGGAUUAGCUAGUUGGUGGGGUAAUGGCUCACCAAGGCGACGAUCCGUAACUGGUCUGAGAGGAUGAUCAGUCACACUGGAACUGAGACACGGUCCAGACUCCUACGGGAGGCAGCAGUGGGGAAUAUUGGACAAUGGGCGAAAGCCUGAUCCAGCCAUGCCGCGUGUGUGAAGAAGGUCUUCGGAUUGUAAAGCACUUUAAGUUGGGAGGAAGGGCAGUAAAUUGAUACUUUGCUGUUUUGACGUUACCGACAGAAUAAGCACCGGCUAACUCUGUGCCAGCAGCCGCGGUAAUACAGAGGGUGCAAGCGUUAAUCGGAAUUACUGGGCGUAAAGCGCGCGUAGGUGGUUCGUUAAGUUGGAUGUGAAAUCCCCGGGCUCAACCUGGGAACUGCAUUCAAAACUGACGAGCUAGAGUAUGGUAGAGGGUGGUGGAAUUUCCUGUGUAGCGGUGAAAUGCGUAGAUAUAGGAAGGAACACCAGUGGCGAAGGCGACCACCUGGACUGGUACUGACACUGAGGUGCGAAAGCGUGGGGAGCAAAC
rnacentral:rRNA from 1 species